UACAGAGGGUGCGAGCGUUAAUCGGAAUUACUGGGCGUAAAGCGUGCGUAGCCGGUUAUAUAAGUCGGGUGUGAAAGCCCCGGGCUCAACCUGGGAAUUGCAUUCGAGACUGCAUAGCUAGGGUGCGGAAGAGGGAAGCGGAAUUUCCGGUGUAGCGGUGAAAUGCGUAGAUAUCGGAAGGAACAUCAGUGGCGAAAGCGGCUUCCUGGUCCAGCACCGACGUUCAGGCACGAAAGCGUGGGGAGCAAACAGG
rnacentral:rRNA from 1 species